GUCUGUAAAACACUGUGAAGCAAUAUGUAAGUCUAAUUGCUAUUACUUACUCCUAUUUUUCAACUUUUUAAGUGACUCUGAAGGGCUUUUGCCAGAUGGACCUCAACAAUUAGUCAAAAACAUCCCAUAGGUUGGAGUUAACAUACUUUCUAACAGACGCAAGAUAGGGCCAAGUCUCUCUGCAUCACUAAUAUCGAUGACGUCACCUAUUUUAAUGAAAACCUCUACAAGAAAACAACCGAGCUCAGAAAGAAAACAAAUAUUCUCCUUUACUGGCUAGUCUGUUUUGUCUCUGACCAGCAAGACCCCUCCCCUAUAUUUCUGGAAGGAUAACCACCUCCUUAUGAAUUUCACCGUUUCUUUGGAAGUAUUUGUUGGUGAUUUGUACCCCCUAAAAUAGAUGCAGAUCCCUGAGAGAUAAAAUAUGUUCCAAAUAGGAGACCCACUGCUGAAAUCCCGCCUUUUUUUUUCUGCGCUGGUGCUGGAUGAUGGGCUUUGCAGUAAAUAAACCCCUGGUUUCCCCAGGCCUGACAUGACCUUGAGCAUCAUCUGUGGUGUUAUUUGGUCGCUGUUCCCUUCUUCUGGCUACGCUUUUUGUCGUUAUUGUAUCGCAAUAGCUCUCCUUGCUGUCCGUUGUUGUCGCUGGGCGCUGUAGCUGGAAUUAUGUAGUGGCGUAUAAUUAUUUGAUAAGUAAACCUGUGAGAUGGGAGCAGAGAAUUAAUGUUUUGGCUCCGGCAGGGAGACAGUCCAGGCUGCCCCUGCUAGCUCAUUCCUUGCGAACCGCCCUUUCAAGCGAUGACUUGACCUGUGGGAAGGGAAUCGUUGCUGGGAUUUUGCCCCAUCCAAUGCCCUGCGCCCCUUCAGGUCUUCUGGCUGGGUUGUCUACCAGCCUCCAUCAGGCAGUGCCGCCUGCCCAUUUAUCCCACAGUUUGCCAGAUAGUUCUCAGCUACACAGCAAAGGGCCCAAUGUACAACCGAGGAAAUUGUGACAGUUCUGGAAAAAAAAAAGAACACAACCAGCUCUAGGGGGGGAAAAAAGCCUGCAGAAUAAUGCAGCAAGGGAGCCUCACCUGUCGUUUCCUUGCUUUUCCUUCUUCGGUGGAAUCGAUCUGUAGGUCCCCUACUUCCCCUUAUCCCAGUUUGGACUAAGAUUCUUCCCCCGGGGUGGGGUGGGGGGCGGGGGCUGUCUGAGUCGGAUACUGAGGAAGGAAGCAUUCCGCAGGCCCGACUCUCACUUCAAGUUCCUCCAAGGGGUCCAGAUCAGAGGGAGGCGAGAUCCUUGAAGCAGAUCUCCCUGUGGAAGCCAGGUCCCAUGAGUUCCUGCCAGGUGCCUCUUAAUUCUGCAGCGGAGUCCUGCAAAGGCCCUCGCUUCUGCCUGCGGAUGGACUGGCUAAUCGGAGCCACCGCCCCAAGUGAAUCUGUGUGUUACGGGGAGGGUGUUUCUCCUCCUCCCCGAAAGCUUUGCUGAUCCUUACCUGGAAGAUCUUUUCCUUCUCCGUGGCAGCUCUCUGGUCCUUCUCAGAAGGAAGUGAAGACUUUAGAAGGCCUUAAGAUGCACUUGAGGACCCUCGAACGCCGAUUGGGGGGCUCUCUAUUGGCAGUUCUAGUUACCCUGCCAUCUUCCCUAUUCCCAAUAAGCCCAGUCCUUCCCCUUCUCUGCACUGAAGACAUCGGAUGGGGUUCUAAGCCCUCCCUUACUCAUCCCCCCCAAUGGGUCAAUGUGUAUAACGAAGCUGUCAUUUCAGUGCCUUUUGAUGGUGGAGCCAGAAUGCAAGCUAUCCCAAGCUCUCUUUUUUUAGGUGGGAGCUCGCCAGAGCUUUUUAACGUUCUCCUUUUUUAAAACAUCCUUCUCUGUUAUUUAAGGCGCAUUGGGAUUUAUUUAAGGGAACUUUGGGGGGGGGGGCUGUAGGGUGGGUAGGGGUGGCCCAUCCUUAUCCCCAUUUUAACUGCACUCGCUGGUGGAUGCCGUGCUGAUAAUGUGGGGUGGGCAUGUCUGGGAAAGCUGCCAGUUCUCUCCCGCAUUGGGCAAAUCGAGUCAAGGCAGGGACUUCCCGCUUUGCUGUGAGACCUGGCACGUUUUAUGCACCCAGUGACCUGAUGUGGGGGCACCUUUGCUCACAUGCAGUUGCCUCUUUGUGCCUGGAACAGCUGGGAGAGCUUCCCCUUAUGCUCUGAGUGGAAGGGAGAUGCUGAGAUUCCAUUUUACUUCAGGACUUAAAUCAUUUUCUAAGUAGACUUUCCCCCCUCCCCUUCUUUCUUAAAACUGCUUAGUUGCAACUCUUUAACUGGCUGGGGAUAUAUAUAUAUAUA